UACGUAGGGUGCAAGCGUUGUCCGGAAUUAUUGGGCGUAAAGAGCUCGUAGGCGGUUUGUCGCGUCGAAUGUGAAAACCCGGGGCUCAACCCCGGGCCUGCAUUCGAUACGGGCAGACUAGAGUUCGGUAGGGGAGUCUGGAAUUCCUGGUGUAGCGGUGAAAUGCGCAGAUAUCAGGAGGAACACCGGUGGCGAAGGCGGCAUCCUGGACCGGUAUUGACACUGAGGCGCGAAAGCCAGGGGAGCAAACGGG
rnacentral:rRNA from 1 species